GUCAAAUCAUCAUGCCCUUAAUGACCUGGGCUACACACGUAAUACAAUGGCAAUAGAACAGAGGGAAGCGAUGGUGCGAACCGGAGCGAAUCCCGAAAAAUUGCCUCAGUUCGGAUCGCAGGCUGCAACCCGCCUGCGUGAAGUCGGAAUUGCUAGUAAUCGCGGAUCAGCAUGCCGCGGUGAAUACGUUCCCGGGCCUU
rnacentral:rRNA from 1 species